rnacentral:lncRNA from 1 species
ACCUCCUUCUGGGUCUUCUGAGUCCCUCUUUUCCAAAAUCCCAACCUCUCCUUCUUUCUUCCCCAAUCUUUCCCUAAACCCACUCUAAAGAAUAGAAAGAAAUAUUGGUGAUAGAUAAAAUGAAAAAAAGUUACAGAGUAAUCUAAAGAGCAUGAUAACAUUUUUUGCCACAACCCCAAAUAUAUAGAUAUCUACAACCAAGCAAGAGCAUAAAGAUGGAAGAAAGCAUAUAGUGCCCAUGGUUUUCUGAUUGGUGACUUUUAUUUUCUUCUUUGCACAUUUUUUAAUGUCCUGAAUUCUUAAGUGUUGCUGCUUUAGUCAUAAGAAAAACAUUAAAAAUGUUAUAAAAAU